rnacentral:lncRNA from 1 species
GCAUCUAAGAACCAUACUACCAGCAGAUCAUGCUCUCCCUGAGCAACAGCAGCACCCCCUCCAUCCCCUCUCCAGCCAACUUCCUGGGUCUAUGCAAGGGACCACCUGCCUUCAGAAAAGGAUUCAGGCCUUGGUGCUAUGCUGAAGAUUACAUGUGGCCUUCUGUGACAUGUGGAAAGAAACUGGGGACCUUCUGUUUCCCAUCUAGUCUUCAGAUUCUGAAGCAAACAGAAUGUUAUCUGACUGACACAAAGCAGAGCUACGUUUUGACAGAAGUCACCUGCAUCUUGUUAAUAUAUUCAUGUACACACGUUCAGGCCAGUUCUGUCUCAAAUGAAUUAAAUUCCUGGAGUCCCACUGAUGACAUGAAGAAGGAAAAUGACCUGAAAUCACAUGUUGAACAGUUCCAAAUAGAGAAAACUGGAUGUAUCCAUCUGGGAGAAAGGAGAGCAAAACAAAGUCUGUUGGUAGAAGUCUCAAAUAUUAUGGUGUGUUAAUGAUCAUAAAAGCAUUGUCAUGAGUGGACAUUUUGGUGGAGCCUGAAAAACCAACAGGAUCAUAUAUGGUGCAAGGAAAUGAGUUGGCAGACUCUCAAGGUAAUUAGGCAGCAAUGCAGAGACCAGUUUUUCCUUCUAAAGUGUUGUGUGGUAUAGAUCUGAGAAAGGGGACUGUUAUCUUUGCAAUUCAUCGAAGAAGUUUUGGCAAAUUCAUUAUUACCAGACAUCCAUUGGCUGCUGCUCAUGCCAUAGCAGGUGUAGAGCAGACGAUAAGGCUGUAUGGGCUACAGGGAUUUGGAUUCAUUCUGUGCUUAGUUUUGCUCUUGCUGCCAUUGAAACGAAAGGAAGACAGACAGAUCUGUACAAGAUGUGGAGUACCAUUACUGUUCAUGGUUCUCCAUGUUGUACCCACUGAGUGGACCUUUGGAGGAGGAUCAGGAACCAAAUUUCUUUCAGUGGGAGAUGAAGAGAUACUGUGCACUUGUUAGGAUCAAACUUUAGAAGAUUGCGUUCUUAAUGUCACCUCUAUUAAAACACUCAGUUACUAGUUUUCCUGUUUUAUUAUAUGAGCUUUCAUUACUGUGACAUCGAUGCAUAUCAGUUCAGGAUUACAUAGCAUUUGUCCUGUAUCUAACCACAUCCUGAAUUCUAUCUUGUGGUUCAUCUGGCUGCUAGUGUUUUUGACAUCUGAAUGCCAUUGGGUUGCAGGAUCUCAUAUCCUACAACCUUGUUCAGCUCAGUUCUGACUUCUAAAUGUAUAGAUAAAAUAGAGAAUCUGUCUUAUAACAGUUGAGUAGAUGGAGUGUUUGAGUUUACAGAGUUAUUCUAACUGGACUGUCUUGUUGGUAAGUCUUGACAUUUAGGUUUGAUAUGUGGCAAUCGAAUGAGCUUUUAGUACACUGCUAGGAUUGUAUCCAUUAGGCUUCUUUUCAGUAAAAAAUCUUGCUGCUGUUUGUUGUGACAUUUGAAAUCUUGAGUCAAAUGGCAUUUUCGGAACUUUUGUACUCUAUUACAA